rnacentral:tRNA from 1 species
AGGAUAAUAGUUAAAUUUAACAUUUAAUUUGCAAUUAAAAGAUAUUGACUAAAACAAUUUAUCUUA